GGUGGGUCUCCUUGCAUUGUUAGUCGCAAAACCUGGUCAGGUCGGGAACGAAGCAGCCAUAUGCGAAUUUGACAAGUGCCAAGGGUUUGGCUCACCACC
rnacentral:SRP_RNA from 1 species